rnacentral:rRNA from 1 species
UACGUAGGCAGCGAGCGUUGUUCGGAAUUACUGGGCGUAAAGCGUGCGUAGGCGGUUCUCCAAGUCCGUUGUGAAAGCCCCGGGCUCAACCUGGGAAUGGCAGUGGAAACUAGGGGACUGGAAUCUGGCAGAGGGGGGUGGAAUGCCGCGUGUAGCAGUGAAAUGCGUAGAGAUGCGGCGGAACACCGAUGGCGAAGGCAGCCCCCUGGGCUGAGAUUGACGCUCAGGCACGAAAGCUAGGGGAGCAAACAGG